UAAAUAGAAGUUCGCUGGAUUAAACGCUUAGCUGUUAACUAAUAUUUUGUAGGAUCAAGGCCUACCUAUUUAG
rnacentral:tRNA from 1 species